rnacentral:rRNA from 1 species
GACGAACGCUGGCGGCGUGCUUUAGGCAUGCGAGUCGAACGCGAAAGCCCCUUCGGGGGUGAGUAUAGUGGCGAACGGGUGAGUAACACGUGGGUAACCUGCCCCUCGCAGGGGGAUAACCGGGGGAAACCCCGGCUAAUACCCCGUACGCUUGCUGGGGCGCAUGCUCCGGCAAGGAAAGGUAGCUUCGGCCAUCCGGCGAGGGAGGGGCCCGCGGCCCAUUAGCUAGUUGGUGGGGUAACGGCCCACCAAGGCGACGAUGGGUAGCUGGCCUGAGAGGGUGGUCAGCCACACUGGGACUGAGACACGGCCCAGACCCCUACGGGAGGCAGCAGCCAGGAAUCUUGCGCAAUGGGCGAAAGCCUGACGCAGCAACGCCGCGUGGGCGAUGAAGGCCUUCGGGUCGUAAAGCCCUGUUGUCGGGGACGAAGGGCGAAGGGUUAAUAGCCCCUAGCCUGACGGUACCCGACGAGGAAGCCCCGGCUAACUACGUG